rnacentral:lncRNA from 1 species
GGAAGACAUGGAAGAAACUUUAACUAGAGAUUGCGUCCUUGAAAAGGUUUCCUUCAGGUGGAAUUAUGUGAGAACAAAUGACAUCAGAAACUAGUGUGUCAGUAUACUUCUGCCAGCUCCAUAUGGUCCGACUCAUUUUCACAGGGGAAUUUCUUCAGCAGUAACUAAAGUCAAUGAAGAAAGUAAAGGACUUGCACAAGUUUCCUAGCUGAUUCUGCCAACUGAAAUAGUUUUAUUAUGCUGUUCUUGUGGACAGAAUGAGUCUCAAAACUGAAAUCAAUUCAAUAAUUGUCCAAAUCCAUCUGAGGCCCUGUGUCUGUAUAAACUGAUUUCCAUGGCUGCUCCUCCAUGUAAGACUUUGCCAUUCUCUGCCUCCAAAAGGACUUGGAUCUAGGAUGACCAUAGCAUCAGGAACUUCUAGGAUUCCAGUCUGAAACCACUGUCAGAGUAAGGGCCACAUCAACCCAUGAGAUCAAGCAGGCAUCUUUUGACUAUGGAGAUAAUCAGCCAGUGCCUCUGACCAAGCCAUGUUUUAAUCCAAGAGUAACUACCCUUGGAGAAUAUCGCCUGUUUCCGGGAGUAAGAAGAAAAUGGUCUGCACCAUGGCAACAUGUAUUACUACUGGCUGCCCAGUGGAGCAAAAGUUAUCCACUGAUCCAACUACUGCACCUGUAGUCAGAGAGGAAUCUGUUUCUGGUCUUCAACUAAC